CAAAUGAAUUGCACAAGCCGAUGACGACCUUUUAAACAAACGCUCAAGAGUUGAUGUCGUUCCAGCAAUUUAUGAUGAUAGGGUGGCCAGGUAGAGGAGAUAAGAAGAGUUCAUGAGGCUUUAGUACGAUAUUUGUUGGGUUUGAAUUGCCACAAGCAAAAGAUAUCUGUUGUGGGGUUUGGUGUUGGCACAGGUGUAAAAGCAGGGUUGAUAGCCGGAUUUUCAUCACGUUUAUGUUAGGAGUGUCCGUGGUAGAGAAAAACAGUAUAUAAUAGUUUCAUGUAAAGAUCAGGAGUUUCGUUCCUUCCAGAAAUGAAAGAAGUGUUGAAAAUAUCCAAACAUACUGGUCAUCUG
rnacentral:lncRNA from 1 species